rnacentral:rRNA from 1 species
UGUAGGAUAGGUGGGAGACUGUGAAACCUCGACGCCAGUUGGGGCGGAGUCGUUGUUGAAAUACCACUCUGAUCGUAUUGGGCAUCUAACCUCGAACCCUGAAUCGGGUUUAGGGACAGUGCCUGGCGGGUAGUUUAACUGGGGCGGUUGCCUCCUAAAAUGUAACGGAGGCGCCCAAAGGUUCCCUCAACCUGGACGGCAAUCAGGUGGCGAGUGUAAAUGCACAAGGGAGCUUGACUGCGAGACUUACAAGUCAAGCAGGGACGAAAGUCGGGAUUAGUGAUCCGGCACCCCCGAGUGGAAGGGGUGUCGCUCAACGGAUAAAGGUACCCCGGGGAUAACAGGCUGAUCUUCCCCAAGAGUCCAUAUCGACGGGAUGGUUUGGCACCUCGAUGUCGGCUCGUCGCAUCCUGGGGCUGGAGCAGGUCCCAAGGGUUGGGCUGUUCGCCCAUUAAAGCGGCACGCGAGCUGGGUUUAGAACGUCGUGAGACAGUUCGGUCUCUAUCCGCCGCGCCGCGUCAGAAACUUGAGGAAACCUGUCCCUAGUACGAGAGGACCGGGACGGACGAACCUCUGGUGCACCAGUUGUCCCGCCAGGGGCACCGCUGGAUAGCCACGUUCGGUCAGGAUAACCGCUGAAAGCAUCUAAGCGGGAAACCUUCUCCAAGAUCAGGUUUCUCACCCACUUGGUGGGAUAAGGCCCCCCGCAGAACACGGGUUCAAUAGGUCAGACCUGGAAGCUCAGUAAUGGGUGUAGGGAACUGGUGCUAACCGGCCGAAAACUUACAACA